UAAGGAUGUAAGAAAUCACAUUUACAGGGCACCGAGAUUUUGCCAGGUAGUUUAGAACUGUGUGCAUUGGUUUUGGAAGAAUUUGGGCUGUUUAGGCUAAAAUCCAUUAUGAUUGGACAGAAUAUGAACACACACAUCCAAUACUUCAAAGAUAUUAUGUUUGUGGAGGCAGAGAUUUUGAUUGCAUCCACUGUUUAGAAUACAUCCUUAAGGGAAGCAGACUGCCGCCUUUACCCAAUGAUAUAAUGAUUAAUCAUAACUAUAUAUGUUUUGUACCAAAUAGAAAGAGCAUUGAUUCAGGUCAUUUUCAAAUCCACUGGCAUACAUUGUACUAUACAUGCAACCUUUUCAAACUUUACAUUUAAGAUUUUAUAAAGGAAAUAUCUUAAUGUUUCACAUGUUUACCUUUCACUGUGCUAUGUAAUUCAUUAUACCUGCCAUUAUGCCAGUCUUCCUGAACAUAAUUUGUUUUCUGCAAUUUCAUUGGCCAAGAGGCUUAAUCCUGGGUUAUCAGAUUGAGCAUUUAUAUUUAGUAUCCCAUUGAUUUUGUCAGCCCUAUAUAAGGAGAUGACUCAGAUUUACUCACUC